rnacentral:rRNA from 1 species
UACGUAGGUGGCAAGCGUUAUCCGGAUUUAUUGGGCGUAAAGGGAACGCAGGCGGUCUUUUAAGUCUGAUGUGAAAGCCUUCGGCUUAACCGGAGCAGUGCAUUGGAAACUGGGAGACUUGAGUGCAGAAGAGGAGAGUGGAACUCCAUGUGUAGCGGUGAAAUGCGUAGAUAUUAGGAGGAACACCAGUGGCGAAGGCGGCAUACUGGACGGCAACUGACGCUGAGGCUCGAAAGCGUGGGGAGCAAACAGG